UACGAGUGGUGCAAACGUUAUUCGGAAUCACUGGGCUUAAAGGGUGCGUAGGCUGCUAUGAAGGUCUGAUGUGAAAUACCACGGCUCAACCGUGGAACGGCGUUGGAAACCACAUAGCUGGAGUGAGACAGAGGUGAGCGGAACUGAUGGUGGAGCGGUGAAAUGCGUUGAUAUCAUCAGGAACACCGGUGGCGAAAGCGGCUCACUGGGUCUUCACUGACGCUGAUGCACGAAAGCCAGGGGAGCAAACGGG
rnacentral:rRNA from 1 species